ACAGUUUCCUGGGCCUCUUGGUUAGUGGUUCGCUGCCGAGGGACGUGAAGUCAAGGCACAUACUGAGAUAAUAGUAAUAUAGACCGGGUCGUGACUAUUACUAUCACCAUUAUUCAAUUAUCCACUGUAAGGAUUCAGUGGGAUUGUGGUGAAAAUCUAAACAUGCAUGUCAGCGUGUUACCACGUGGCGGAAGGAGCCCACGUGUGCCCGCUGACUGCUGCUGGGGGACGCGACUGUUUACUAAAAGCGGGACUAGAGUUAUUACAAAUAAUGACCGUGCGAUAUGAUGGUGAAGAACUACUUUGAGUUAAGCAUUUAGCAGUGUUUCAACACUACUAAAGAAUGCAACAAAAAGCAUUGUAUUCAAAUUUGAUACCGAGUGCAGACGUGAAAGAUGGCCGCUACUGGUUCAAGACUCAAGACUCCCUUGAUGGUGUCAUGUUACCGGCUGGACUGGACCAGGCUUGCUGCCCAAUGCAUCUAUUGAAGAUGGUUUGAAGCACGCAUCAUGUGAUCGGCUUGAAGUGAACAUCUGGAUCAUUCUGAUGGAGCAGACUUCAUUACCCUCUGUAAGUGUACUUGCAAAAACUUUGUAACCUUUAGUCUGUCGGUGAUGAUUUGUUAUAAGGUUCUUCUGACUUAAAUGAAGCUUACUCGCAGCGCACUGAGACAUUUUAACAAUUUUAGCCAGUUGGUGGCGGUCACACAACUAGGGUCUAACUUUGCCUCCAUUUCAGGUUGAAGAUGGAUUGAGGCCCAUCGUGGGGACGUGACCAGUAAGUCUGAGUCAAGUUAAUGAUGACAUAAAAAUGUGCUUAAGUGAUGAAUCACUUGACUAGAGUCUCUGACUAACUCAUGAAGCUAUUUCACAGUACGCUGACGAGCACAUUCUGCUUGUAUUAACUUGACUGGUUAAUUUGUUGAUGCUAACAAAUCGCAUCCUUGUCUUUCAAACAGAAUUGCCGUGAACAUUUGGAUCCUCCAAUGAUGCACACCUCCUUCCCUUUUAUUGAAGAUUGUUUGAAGCGCACGUCAUGUGACCGGCUUGAAGUGAACAUCUGGAUCAUUCCGAUGGAGCAGACUUCAUUGCCCUCUGUAAGUGUACUUGCAACAACUUUGCAACCUCGAGGAGAAAUCUGUAAAAUGGAUCUGGGAUACAUUUGGAAUGACAACGAGUUAGAAUGUUCAUUUUGGAGCAAACGGCGCAUAUGGACGCAUUCUUAAAUUUGCUGUUUUUACCGACUACCAAAACGCUAUUGUCUCAAAAUAAAAACAAAAUCGCUAUUUUAAACCACUUGCAAGGCUAGAAGUAGCCCGAAAAUAGCUUAGUAUAAUAAGGGUCUUAACAUAUAAAAGGCAUUGAUAACUUUGUAAGUGUACAGAUUAGGGAUGGGCAUUUGAAGAAAUGUCCUUGAUCGAGCAUCGUUAGAGUUAUCGAUCAAUUAUCGAUUAAUCAUUCAAUAAGUAGCCAACUUAUCGGACAACAAUAAUCAAACAAAGGCAGUAGGCUAAAAGUGGGCAUUAAACUGUAUAACUGUUUUGAAAAAAGGCCGACAUAUAAUGCCUAUAGGCUGCAGCCGGCGCGCGGAAAAGGCUCGUAACAAAAAGACGAGCCACCCAUUUACAAACAAUUGCAUGAACAAGUCUAUCUAAAAGCAAUACCUUAUUGAACAUAUAUAAGGCUGAACUUGUUGCUAAAAUAUCAGUUUUGGCAAAAUGUAACGACUCCAAGAGGCACCAAGCCAAAAGAAAAGCGGAGCGAGAGACGACCCAUUAAGAAAAAAAAGAGCGACUCACAUACGGUGGUGACUGUCCCUACUGUCCAUAGCAUACAGUAACUCCAGCCUACAUAUUUUUGUUUAGGAAUAUAAGCAUGUUAACAUGCUCGCGGGUCAGACGCGAACGCAGCCUUGUAACUGUCAGUCCAGCAGCAGAAAACACCCGCUCUGACGGGACCGAAGUUGCGGGGAUGCAGAGGUAUUGUCGCGCUAACUUUGACAGCCUGGGGAACCUUCUUCCUUCACUUUCCACCAGUCGGCAGGGUGGUAUUUCUCCCACAUAUUGAUAUUCAAUUAAAUGCUUCAAGACUCACAGUAUGCAACACAACGUCCUUUUGAUCGAUAACAAUAUAAAUUGAUCGACGCAUUUCUUAAGGAUCGAUUAUCGAGCAUCGAUUAAUUAUGCCCAUCCCUAGUACAGAUGUUUAUUAACAAAGGACAUUUUAUACACACAAUACCAUCAGUAGUUCACCCAUCAACGCCAUCUUGUCUUUAAGACUCCAUAGGUAGGUUGGCGAACACAGAGCUUGUGACAUCCGUAAACAAAGGGCAAGCUCCCAAUCUACUUAUUGAGUCUUAUCGACAAGAUGGCGUCAACGGGUGAACUACUGAUGGUAUUGUGUGUGUGUAUAAAAUGUCCUUGGUUAAUAAACAUCUGUACACUUGCAAAGUUAUCAAUGCCUCGUUUAAUAUUCCAAGACCCUUAUUAUAUUACGAAAGAAGUGUCGGGCUACUUCUAGCCUUGUCAGUAGUUUAAAAUAGCUAUUUAGUUUUUACUAUGAGACAUGCCCCCAUCGUUCCAAGUUUAAAGCGGUUUUGGUAGAAACGGCUAAAAACAGCCAACCUAAGAAUGAGUCUAUGAGCUUUUUUGCUCCCAACCGAACAGUCCAUCUCAUUAUCAUACUAAACAUAUCCCAGAUCCAUUUUACACAGGAUUUCUCCUUUAAGUCUGUCGGUGAUGAUUUGUUAUAAGGUUCUUCUGACUUAAAUGAAGCUUACUCGCAGCGCACAGACAUUUAAAAAAAAAAUGUAACCAUUUGGUGGCGGUCACACAACUAGGGUCUCACUCUGCUACCUUUUUCAUUUCAGAUUGAAGAUGGUUUGAGGCCCAUGAUUGUCAUGUGACUGACAUUACGUGAACAUUGGGAUCCUCCAAUGGCACAGACCUCCUUCCCUCUAUGUAUAAGCCCUGGCAGAGCAGGAGCCACUUGAGGGAUGACAUCCAGUAAGUUUUAACUUUGCCUCAGCUUCGGAUGAUUAAAACUAAUAUGCUGUAAUGAUGAAUUCACUAGACUAGAGUCUCUGACUAUCACCCAUGAAGAUCUUUCACAGUACGCUGACUUGGCAUACCGUAGUCGUUCAUUCAAAGCUGUUCAUUGUAAUUUGUACUAAUAUAUUUUCCCUUUAAUAGACAAGUAACGGAUCGAUUACAAACAGGAAACGACAAGCCUAUGUUGACUUGUGAGUAGCCCGCUCCUAUUAGUUUGCGGCAUAACCCUGGAGGCAGCAUUUUCUUAUAGUACGGUUUCUGCAAAUGCUCAGAAUUGAUGCUAAAAGAUGUAUAUCUUUUUAUGUCUUACAGGUGCCGUUUUUGGAAGACUCUAGAAAUUCAUCAAACUCAAUUAAGAGGUGUUAUGCUGAUGUGCUGCCCUACACCUCUAUGAAAUGUCCUCUAUUGAAUCUGUCUUAUAAUAAAGACUUUGAUAAAAAAUCGAAUUGUACUGUUGGAUUGAACAAAUGGUUAGUCUUGACUGGGAUUUUCAGAAAUGAACACUUUGUGAAAUUACCUUAAACUGCACUUCAAUAAAAAGUUACUAAAUCAA
ensembl:lncRNA